GUUCUAUAUCUCUUGACAUUGAAAUCACAUCAAUUCAUUGAAUAAUGAAUUCUGUGUUUUUUUUUGCAAGAAUUUCGUUUUUUAGCCCGUCCCACCAUACUUUAAAAAUAAAACGAUCAGGAUUAUUUCCCCCUCUUGAGAACGCUGUCUGUUCUUGAACCAAACCCGAUCUCUAAAACUGGAACAUAAAAGUAAUUGGAAAGUAAAAGGAGGUGCAGACGAUGGACACAAUGCUUCACUGCCUUUUUAUGAUCGUCACAUGACAUACUGGGGGAGUUGACCUCAUGACCUCCCACCAGGGCCUUGAGAAUCAUUGCUAGGUACCCACGUUGGUUUGACUUCACCGCUAUGCACACAACUUGGUUUGACUUCACCGUUAGGUACACACCUUGGUUUGACUUCACAACACCGUUAGGUACACAACUUGGGUUUGAAAGUCGGGUCAAUUUUCAGCACCACAAAUAGUUUACAUUAGUUUUAAUUAAAAUGAAUUAAAUUGCCUUUCCACAUUGUUUAAAGUUCACCAUUAACAGCUCUAGCUUGUAGGCCUGCUAAGAUAUUGUCUCACCUUUUCUUAGGAAAUUGACUUUGAGCCCAAAAUUAAAAAACGUAAUAAAACACACCAGGGAAAAUGUUCAUGUCUCAGCAAAACUGAAAGUCUUUCCCAUGUCAUCCACAUCAGAACUAAUGAACACAGAAUCACAGAGAGCUCACAUCCUGCAGCACAUCCAGUGAAGGAUCCUGCUGUUCAGAUGAGGACAACCAGCUGCUCUGAUUCAGAACAACACAAGCAGCGUUCAGUGAAGAACUCCCUGAGAGAUGACAGCCCAGCACCAAGCAGAACGCACACCUGUCUCUUAAUGUGUAAACACUUUGUCCACAUCGGCUGGCGGUGAUAAUCAUGUCGGGGCGGUUUCAGAUGAGUCAACUUGUUGGACAUGUUGCAAACGAAACACAACCUCAGAAUUUGCUGGAUCUAGUUUGUCGGUGUGGGAUUUGAGGUAGCCUGUGUUCCCAAAACCUGCUGUUUCCUCUCGUAUCGGAACACAUCUGUAACGACCCAAAGUCCUGUACGGAAACGCUGAUUAUUGCUAAAGGGUCCAGGGUCUGUUGGUUCCACUGUUUUUACUGCUAAUGACUCAGUCCAGAUCCAGUCUUUGAUUGUGAUCAAGCAGGCGUAGGGGAACAGAGUUUAUGGGCUCUCUGUGUGUGUUGGACAGACCAGUUGAGAGGACCGGGACAAGGGGUGGAGAGGAAGUGACAUCGUUGUUCAACAGCUUGGUGGCUACCAGGUGUAUUGUCUCUAUUUUGUCCAAUCAGCCCCUGUGGGUUCUGCUCAUGCUAGCAGAUCACUCACACACCAUUCAGAAAUGUCCUUCAUUUUACGGCUGAAUUAUGUUAAUCAGAUCCAUUCCUCCAAAGCACCUUCCUCGUUAACUCAGACAGCCUACACUCGCCUCGGCUACCUGGACUCAAAACCAGAACCUCCAGGUCUCUGACUCAAUAAACCUGGUGAUCCACUAGUACCCUGCUCCCCUCAUCCAGUUAAAAACGGCCGUCCAUCCGCCAUAACUGUCCCCGCAGAAGUGAGUGGUCUUACCCUUUAGCUCUCUUUGUCUGGAGU
ensembl:lncRNA